AUACGGGACUCAUCCGAGGCCCCGUAAUCGGAAUGAGAACAUUUUAAAUCUCUUAACGAUUACCCAUUAGAGGGCCAGUCUGGUGCCAGCAGCCGCGGUAAUUCCAGCUCUAAUAGCGUAUAUUAAAAUUGCUGCGGUUAAAAAGCUCGUAGUUUGACCUGUGCCCUGCGCUGCCGGUUCACCGCUCGUCGGUGUCCAACUGGCAUGCGUGCGGGGCGUCCUGCCGGUGGGCGCGAGCCGACUGCGGCGGCAGGCGCUCUCGGGCCAGGCUCCGGCGGUGAGCAAUCGCUGUCGGGCCGGGCUCUCGGGGGCGUUGAUGCCCCGUGGAAGGCGGACCCCGAUCUCACCCGCCGCGGUGCUCUUAACUGAGUGUCGUGCGGGCCGGCACGUUUACUUUGAACAAAUUAACGUGCUUAACGCAGGCCUUUGUCUGCCCGAAUACUCUUGCAUGGAAUAAUGGAAUAGGACCUCGGUUCUAUUUUGUUGGUUUUCGGAAGUCGAGGUAAUGAUUAAUGGGGAUUGCCGGGGGCAUCCGUAUUGCGACGUUAGAGGUGAAAUUCUUGGAUCGUCGCAAGACGAACUGGAGCGAAAGCGUUUGCCAAGUAUGUUUUCUUUAAUCAAGAACGAAAGUUAGAGGUUCGAAGGCGAUCAGAUACCGCCCUAGUUCUAACCAUAAACUAUGCCAACUAGCGAUCCGCUGUGUGUCUUAGAUGUCACGGCGGGCAGCCUCCGGGAAACCAAAGUCUUUGGGUUCCGGGGGAAGUAUGGUUGCAAAGCUGAAACUUAAAGGAAUUGACGGAAGGGCACCACCAGACGUGGAGCCUGCGGCUUAAUUUGACUCAACGCGGGGAACCUCAUCAGGCCAGGACACCGGAAGGAUUGACAGAUUGAGAGCUCUUUCUUGAUUCGGUGGGUGGUGGUGCAUGGCCGUUCUUAGUUCGUGGAGUGAUUUGUCUGCUUAAUUGCGAUAACGAACGAGAUCCUACCCUACUAACUAGUCGAAACCGGCAUCCCCUGUGCAGCCGGCGACCAACACUCUUCUUAGAGGGACAGGCGGCUUCCAGCCGCAGGAAGUGGGGCAAUAACAGGUCUGUAAUGCCCUUAGAUGUUCUGGGCAGCACGCGCGCUACACUGAAGGUAUCAACGUGUGUUUUCCUUGCUCGAGAGGGCCGGGUAACCCGUUGAAACUCCUUCGUGCUAGGGAUUGGGGCUUGCAAUUAUUCCCCACCAACGAGGAAUGCCUAGUAAGCGGGAAUCAUUACUUCCCGCUGAUUAAGUCCCUGCCCUUUGUACACACCGCCCGUCGCUACUACCGAUUGAAUAUUUUAGUGAGGUCUUCGGACCAGCCCGCGGACCCUUCUCAGGGGCCGUAGAGCCGGAAAGAUGACCGAACUUGAAUAUUUAGAGGAAGUAAAAGUCGUAACAAGGUUUCCGUAGGUGAACCUUCGGAAG
rnacentral:rRNA from 1 species